rnacentral:rRNA from 1 species
GAUGAACGUUGGCGGUGUGCCUAAUACAUGCAAGUCGAACGGAGACUGUAGCAAUACUGUCUUAGUGGCGAACGGGUGAGUAACGCGUUGAUGAUCUGCCUCGAAGUGUGGAAUAACCUCCCGAAAGGGAAGCUAAUACCGCAUAGUCUCUCAAGGUUUAGAAAAUUGAGAGUAAAGGAUUUAUUCGCUUCGAGAGGAGCCUGCGUCCCAUCAGCUAGUUGGUAGGGUAACGGCCUACCAAGGCAAUGACGGGUAGGGGACCUGAGAGGGUGGCCCCCCACAAUGGAACUGAAACACGGUCCAUACACCUACGGGUGGCAGCAGUAGGGAAUAUUAGAAAUGGGCGGAAGCCUGAUCUAGCAACACCGCGUGUGCGAUGAAGGCCUUCGGGUCGUAAAGCACUUUUUGGAGGGAAUAGGAAGGAAGGUACCUCCAGAAUAAGUCUCGGCUAACUACGUGCCAGCAGCCGCGGUAAUAGGUCUACUG